rnacentral:rRNA from 1 species
AUUGAACGCUGGCGGUAGGCCUAACACAUGCAAGUCGAGCGGAGCGGCGGACGGGUGAGUAAUGCCUAGGAAUCUGCUUGGUAGUGGGGGAUCACGUCUGGAAACGGGCGCUAAUACCGCAUACGAUCAAAUGAGCCUAGGUCGGCUUAGCUAGUUGGUGGGGUAAAGGCCUACCAAGGCGACGAUCCGUCACUGGUCUGAGAGGAUGAUCAGUCACACUGGAACGGAGACACGGUCCAGACUCCGAACAUGCUCAACAGGUAAAAAUAUUUGACAAGGGACGAAAGCCUGAUCCAGCCAUGCCGCGGGAGUGAAGAAGGUCUUAGGAUUGUAAAGCACUUUAAGUUGGGAAGCGUUACCAACAGAAUAAGCACCGGCUAACUUCGUGCCAGCAGCCGCGGUAAUUC